rnacentral:misc_RNA from 1 species
GAGAGAGAGAGAGAGAGAGAGAGAGAGGAGAGAGAGUAUGUGUAAAUGUGUAUUCCAACAUGAUUACGUACUUUAAGCCAAAGUACAUGUACUAAUAAGUUUAUAUGUUACAAUAAUGUUUUUUGGGAUGAUUUAAUAUUUUGUGAAAUUAAAAAUUAUAA